rnacentral:rRNA from 1 species
GGGGGAUAACAUUUGGAAACAGAUGCUAAUACCGCAUAAAUAUUCAAACCGCAUGGUUUGAAGCUGAAAGGCGGCUUUCGAGCUGUCGCUUUUGGAUGGACCCGCGGCGCAUUAGUUAGUUGGUGAGGUAAAGGCUCACCAAGACCGUGAUGCGUAGCCGACCUGAGAGGGUGAUCGGCCACAUUGGGACUGAGACACGGCCCAAACUCCUACGGGAGGCAGCAGUAGGGAAUCUUCCACAAUGGACGAAAGUCUGAUGGAGCAACGCCGCGUGAGUGAAGAAGGUUUUCGGAUCGUAAAACUCUGUUGUUGGAGAAGAACACAUUUGAGAGUAACUGUUCAGAUGUUGACGGUAUCCAACCAGAAAGCCACGGCUAACUACGUGU